rnacentral:rRNA from 1 species
UACGUAGGGGGCAAGCGUUGUCCGGAUUCAUUGGGCGUAAAGAGCGUGUAGGCGGCCAGGUAGGUCGGUUGUGAAAACUGGAGGCUCAACCUUCAGAGGUCGACCGAAACCAUCUGGCUAGAGUCCGGGAGAGGAGAGUGGAAUUCCUGGUGUAGCGGUGAAAUGCGCAGAUAUCAGGAGGAACACCUAUUGCGAAGGCAGCUCGCUGGGACGUUACUGACGCUGAGACGCGAAAGCGUGGGGAGCAAACAGG